rnacentral:tRNA from 1 species
GUGCGUGGCCGAAUGGUUACGCUGUCCGCUUUGUAAGCGGAUGAUUCUGGGUUCGAUCUGCUGCAACC